AUAGGUGUUGAAUAAUGAUGUGGA
rnacentral:siRNA from 1 species